GACGAACGCUGGCGGCGUGCCUAAUACAUGCAAGUAGAACGCAGUUGCGAACGGGUGAGUAACGCGUAGGUAACUGCCGCAUAGCGGGGGAUAACUAUUGGAACCGAUAGCUAAUACCGCAUACUGUGAGAUGGGCCUGCGGUGUAUUAGCUAGUUGGUGGGGUAAAGGCUCACCAAGGCGACGAUGCAUAGCCGGCCUGAGAGGGUGGACGGGCAACAUUGGACUGGGACACGGCCCAGACUCCCACGGGGGGCAGCCGUUGGGAAUCUUUGGCAAAUGGCGGAAGGCUGACCGAGCAAAGCCGGGUGAGUUAAGGAGGGUUUCGGAGCGUAAAACGCUGUUGUUAGAGAAGCGGUAACUAACCAGAAAGCGACGGCUAACUACGUGCCAGCCGCCGCGGUAAUUC
rnacentral:rRNA from 1 species